GACCCGCUAUAAAAAGUUCACCUUUAAACAAGGUUUGCACUGUACAUUUCUUUGUGAACAAAAUUGAAAUAUUAAUUUAAAAAAGAAUGAAACCGGAAUGGUGAUGUUGAAAGUAAUGCAGUCAUUUAUAGCAGUAACAGUCAGAUAAAAUGUUGUAAAAAAUAUGUAUUGAUUAUGAAUAGUAUUUCUAGGUUUAUGUGUGUGUGACUUUGGAUAUGCUACGGCUAUUUACUUUUGUCCCUUCAACUGGAUAGAUAAGUAAAGCAUAAAACGUAUAUAUAUAUAUAUAUAGAAACGUGUGACAUGAACAUAUGUAAUGAAAAGCAAUAAAUAAACUCCCUCGAUGUGAACAUAUAACUAUUUAAAUUUAUAAUUAUAAAAUUCCAGAAUAAAACAAAAUUAAACAAAACAUAA